rnacentral:snoRNA from 1 species
AUGCAAGUUGAUUCCCUCUCCAAAGGGCUUACUUGUGCCCCUCUUCAGGAAAGUGGCAACUUGGAAUAAAACUGGCAUGCCUAGGGUUUCCAGGGAGAAGGGGGUGUUUGUUUCCUUUGCCUUCCUGUGGCUACCUACAUGU